rnacentral:rRNA from 1 species
AGAGUUUGAUCAUGGCUCAGAAUCAACGCUGGCGGCGUGCCUAACACAUGCAAGUCGAACGCGAAAACCCCGCAAGGGGUUAGUAGAGUGGCGAACGGGUGAGUAACACGUGGGUGACCUACCUUCGAAUGGGGGAUAACGUCCCGAAAGGGACGCUAAUACCGCAUAACAUCCUGCCUUUGAACAGGUGGAGAUCAAAGCCGGGGAUCGCAAGACCUGGCGUUUGAAGAGGGGCCCGCGUCUGAUUAGCUAGUUGGUGAGGUAACGGCCCACCAAGGCGACGAUCAGUAUCCGGCCUGAGAGGGCGGACGGACACACUGGGACUGAGACACGGCCCAGACUCCUACGGGAGGCAGCAGUGGGGAAUUGUUCGCAAUGGGCGCAAGCCUGACGACGCAACGCCGCGUGGAGGAUGAAGGUCUUCGGAUUGUAAACUCCUGUUGCCCGGGACGAAAAGCUUCGACCUAACACGUCGAAGUCUGACGGUACCGGGUGAGGAAGCCCCGGCUAACUCUGUGCCAGCAGCCGCGGUAAUACAGAGGGGGCAAGCGUUGUUCGGAAUUACUGGGCGUAAAGGGCGCGUAGGCGGCCUUCUAAGUCGAACGUGAAAUCCCCGGGCUCAACCCGGGAACUGCGUCCGAUACUGGAAGGCUUGAAUCCGGGAGAGGGAUGCGGAAUUCCAGGUGUAGCGGUGAAAUGCGUAGAUAUCUGGAGGAACACCGGUGGCGAAGGCGGCAUCCUGGACCGGCAUUGACGCUGAGGCGCGAAAGCCAGGGGAGCAAACGGGAUUAGAUACCCUAGUAGUCC